UAAAUAUUACCACGGGUAAAAUUCUAGAAUUGACGGGGUUGAGUCGAUAUUAAUAUGGGAUGGUGUACUACGGAUGAAAUCUGAAAAACAACAAUCAAAAUACAAUUAUACAAUAUUAAA
rnacentral:sRNA from 1 species